rnacentral:lncRNA from 1 species
UAUUUAAUAUCUGGGUGUUGAGGGCUUGGUUGGCAUCCUGUGGAAAUUCUGGGAGAGGAUGGAGCCUUUAGGAGGAAGGAAGGGUCUCCUUUCAGGGAGCUAGGUCAUUGCCUGUAUACUCUGGGAGAGGAUAUUAGGAUCGCCUGUGUUCUUUGGUUCUCAGUUGCUAUGAAGAGAAUAGAUUUCUUCCACCACACCCUCCCACUCGGUACACUAUUUUGCCACAGCCCAAAGCACAAGGGCUAAGUAGCUCAGACAACCUCUUUUCUUCUAUUAUUUCUGAUAAUAAGAAAAAAAAUUACUUUUUAAGAGCUGAGAGCCAAACCCAAGGCUUUGCUCUUGCUAGGCAAGUAUGCUACUACUGAGUUAAAUCUUCAACCUCUAAAAUAAUUCUUGAAAUUAUUAUUAUUUUUUUAUUUUGUGUGCAUAUGUGUGUAUUAUAUGUGUGCUUCCAUGCUGUAGUGUGAAUGUGGAAGUCAGAAGAUAAGUUAUUGGCAUUGAUUCUUCCUUUUUGCACACGUGUCUUGGAGAUAGAAGUAAGGUGGUUAGGUUUGGCAGUAGGCCCCUUUCCCAUUGAACCAUCACAUCCCCAUCUGAGGAAUGUUGUAAAAUUAUCCAGUACAAAACUUACAUGAUGCUUUCUUUACUUUCUGGAUAUGUGUUUCCAGCUCUCUACUUUGUGGGUACCAUGAUUGUAGUUUUCCUAAUAAGUAAGAUAUAGUCUGGUAAACAAUUGUUAUGAUUUUUGAUACACUCCUGUCUAAAUCAUUUAGUUAAUGUAUUUUAUCUUUAUUGCCAAAAGCCAAAGAACACAAAAAUGGGAAUAACUCUCUUAGAAAAUUUGUGAUGGUAUUUUAUUUUUAGUAAAGAAUUGAUUUUACCUUCUAUACCUGUGUGCACAUCAUGCACGCGUGCAUGUGCACAUGCACUCACACACACAGAAGUGUAAAUCAGUGUGACAGUGAAAUGAAGCAGAGCUUACUCCUACUGUGUUGAAUGUAUUCAUUUCUGUUCUGCUUUAUUUUAAAAACUAUGGUGUUGCAACUUACUUAAUCGAAUUCUAAAAAUGAUACAAGACAUGCUCUUACAGUACACAGGGCAAAAAGUGCCUUAUAAAAGGAGUUUGGGGAACUGGGUUGAGCAUUAAUCCUCCCAUUGAUUACAAGUGCUGUCUUUCACUGUUAUUUUAUUUUAUUUUUUUGCUUGCAAUAUUUACCAGUGGCUCAGCUCAACUCCACACAAAUGCCCAAGUCAGGUCAAGUAUGCUGACAGAAAGGAGUGUUGAUAAGAAUGUUAACCAUACCUAGGGAGUCACUUUGAAGGAUAGCAUAUUAACAUUAAUACCAAGGCCUCCCACAUAGGAAUGCAUGCAUGCUUCCUACUAAGUGCUGUAUAUAUUCUCCUUGUUUCUUGCCACAGUUGGCUCUGAAAUUUGUGUUCUUUGUUUCUUGGCUGAGUCCAGUGAGGCAGCCUAUAGUCAGGCAGUGGAGGAAACCAUGGUCUCCGGCUCAGACUCAAGCUGUAUGUGCUUGCUUUCUCCUGAAUUGUUUCCCUCACUGAUGCAUGUAACACAUCUGGGCUUCAUUUGCCAAGGAGCUGAAGUUGUCAUUUGAUGUAUAUCUUAGUCCAAAAUAGUCUUCAUUCUACAGGGCAGGGCUAUAUACAUCAUUAAGACUUUUUAUUUGGCCCCCUUAUUAGUGGGUUCAGUAGAUGACCAAGUACUAAGUGAAGCAGUUUAUGGUUUUUUUCAGAAUAGUCAUUUUCCCAUUUAAGGUGCGAGAAUAGUCUCAAGUGGCUUGUCAUGUUUUGCUGAGAAUUUUUGGGACCCACUGUUAGUCUUAUGUGGAUUUGUGGAUUUCUAAUUCUUUAUUAUUUAGAAACAGUGUCUCACAAUGUAGCCCUGGUUUGUCUAAACCUCCCUGUGUAGAUCAGGCUGGCCUUGAACACACAGAUAUCUUCCUGCCUCUUGCUUCCUGAGUACUGAGAUUGACAGAGGCCCAAUACAUUUUACCAAGAGCAUUUCCAGUGAGAUACUGUAUUAUACAGACAAAAGACCUGUAACUUGCUGCUGCUCACCUGUACACUUGAUUUGAAAGGACCUCCCUUCAAUUGAGUUUAUGCAUUUAUUUGGCAGUUAAAUUACAUAAAUAAGGUAUCUGUAGUGGUUUGAAUAAGAUUGGCCCCCAUAGGCUCAUAUAUUUGAAUGUUUGGUUCCCAGUUGGUGGAUUGUUUAGGAAGGAUUAGGAGGUGUGGCCUUGAUGGAGGAAGUGUGUUUUUGGGGAUGGGCUCUCAAGUUUCAGAGGCCCACCCCAGGUUCAGUCUCACUUCCUUUCUCUGACUGCAACUUGUGGAUCAGAUGUGAUCUGUCAGCUACUGCUCCAGAGCUAUGCUUUCUGUUGCCAUGUUCUCUGCUAUGUGGUCAUAAGCUCACCCUCUGAAACUGUUAGCAAGCCCCUAAUAAAAUGCUUUCUUUUAUAAGUUGACUUGGUCAUGCUAUCUCUCCACCAUGUUAGAAUAGUAACUAAGACAGUGUCUAAGUCCCUUUUCCCGCCUUUCUCUAAUUCACUCUCUUUCUCUACCUCUGCUGCUUUACUUGGUGUUUUCCCUUCCUCCCUUCAAAAUGAAUCAGUAAAACAAUAGAUUAAACUAAAAUAAAAUCUUUGAUAGGGAUUAUUUAACUUGGUUGUUCUUUUUAAUUUAUUCUUUUUAAUUUAAAUUUAUUUUUAUUAUUAUUUCAUUUAAAAUUUAUGAGUAUGGGUGUUUUAUAUAUAUAUAUAUAUAUGUCUGUAUACUAUGUGGGUGCUUGGUGCCUAAGGAAGAGGGUGUUGGAUCUGCUGGGACUAGAGUUACAGACAUUUGUGCAUUACCAUGCAGGAGCUGGGGAACAAACGUAGGUCCUCUGCAAGACAACGAGGCCUCUU